rnacentral:lncRNA from 1 species
CGGGGCCGAGGGAGGGGAGAAGGCAGUUGAAGCACUGGUGUCGGGGAGCUGCCGUCAAGCCAGAGCCGCGGAGAAGGAGUUCGCGAAAGCGGCAGUUGGCACCUCUUCCCUCCGCGCUCCCGGCCCCAGCUGAGCGGCACCGCGGCUAGUCUGAGGCGCUCUCCGCGUACUUCCCCAGCCGCGCCGCGAGAUGGUCCUGCGCCCCCGAAGCCCCGCGCCGCCGCCGCCCUCGCGCUGAGGAGGAGUUGAAGAGAUCCACUUCAGUGGCUACUUUACAUGCUGGUCUUCAAACUGAUGCCCUGUAAGAGUCAAUAG